rnacentral:rRNA from 1 species
CCAGACAGCCAGGAUGUUGGCUUAGAAGCAGCCAUCAUUUAAAGAAAGCGUAAUAGCUCACUGGUCGAGUCGGCCUGCGCGGAAGAUGUAACGGGGCUAAACCAUGCACCGAAGCUGCGGCAGCGACGCUUAUGCGUUGUUGGGUAGGGGAGCGUUCUGUAAGCCUGUGAAGGUGUACUGUGAGGUAUGCUGGAGGUAUCAGAAGUGCGAAUGCUGACAUAAGUAACGAUAAAGCGGGUGAAAAGCCCGCUCGCCGGAAGACCAAGGGUUCCUGUCCAACGUUAAUCGGGGCAGG